UUAAAUUGAAGAGUUUGAUCAUGGCUCAGAUUGAACGCUGGCGGCAGGCCUAACACAUGCAAGUCGAACGGUAACAGGAAGCAGCUUGCUGCUUUGCUGACGAGUGGCGGACGGGUGAGUAAUGUCUGGGAAACUGCCUGGUGGAGGGGGAU
rnacentral:rRNA from 1 species